rnacentral:rRNA from 1 species
AACGCUGGCGGCGUGCCUAAUACAUGCAAGUCGAAUGGUAGCAAUACCAUGGCGAACGGGUGAGUAACACGUAGGUAACCUGUCUUUAAGCCGAGGAUAACCAUUGGAAACGAUGGAUAAUACUGGAUAGGACAUUUGAAGGCAUCUUUAGAUGUUUAAAGAUUUAUCACUUAGAGAGGGGCCUGCGGCGCAUUAGCUAGUUGGUGAGGUGAAGGCUUACCAAGGCGAUGAUGCGUAGCCGGACUGAGAGGUUGAACGGCCACAAUGGAACUGAGAACGGUCCAUACUCCUACGGGAGGCAGCAGUAGGGAAUUUUCGGCAAUGGGCGGAAGCCUGAACCCGAGCAACGCCGCGUGAACGAAGAAGUAUUUCGGUAUGUAAAGUUCUUUUAUUAGGGACGAAAAGACAGAUUGACGGUACCUAAUGAAUAAGCUCCGGCUAACUACGUGCCAGCAGCCGC